rnacentral:rRNA from 1 species
UACGUAGGGUGCAAGCGUUGUCCGGAUUUAUUGGGCGUAAAGAGCGUGUAGGCGGCUUGGCAAGUCUGCUGUGAAAACUCGAGGCUCAACCUCGAGCUGUCGGUGGAAACUGCUUGGCUAGAGUCCGGAAGAGGAGAGUGGAAUUCCGUGGUGUAGCGGUGAAAUGCGCAGAUAUCAGGAAGAACACCUAUGGCGAAGGCAGCUCUCUGGGACGGUACUGACGCUGAGACGCGAAAGCGUGGGGAGCGA